GUCCAAGAAAGUUCCAUGAACUUGUUGUGUGCAGUUUUCUUGCCUUGUUCUCAUGGACGGAUGCUACAGCGGGAUUUUCUGCCAUGAUAUAUAUCUUCUGCAACUUUCUCCUCAAUCAUGGCUGCAAAGCCAUCGAUAUGUCUGUUGUAGGAGUAGAAAAUUGCUUCCUUGGCUGCCUCAUUGCUGUACUUGGAAACAAAACAUAGAGUGAGGAUUAAACAAAUCAAUCCAACAGAAACCUGGUUAGUUCCAUGAUUUGAACUAGAAGCUCAACCUUCCCAACAGAGAGCCAAGUAAAUUGUAGUGAGAUUCCGUUGCGAGUUCAAGAUCGACUGCAGACGGACUCGACCCGUGUGAAUGUGAUCCCAAAUAAACAAUGUAAGACUGUAAGAGAUGAAAAAGAAUGUGAGUGAUCAUGUGAUGCAGAAUCAUAUAUAGACAUUCAAAAUAUUGCCAUAUUUUUUCACUGGCUUGCCUUCUUGGUGGCAAUGGUGGAUGUUUGCAAUGCAGCAAAGAGAAAGAACAGAAGCAAUGAAGAUAGAUUGAAACUGAAAGCCUCCAUGGCUUUUACUUGACUCUUAUGAAUGAAACUCCCUCUAUUCUUUUCAGCUUUAUACAAGUUUUGGCU